CAUAUUAAAAACCAAGUCACUGACUUCCUUCAGCUCCAGUGAUAGUAGUGUGGAAGGAUUGACUGAACUACACUGAGCUGGAAGAAUCAUGUGGCUUGGCCUUGAAAAUC
ensembl:miRNA gga-mir-6613 gga-mir-6613